AGAUAAUGACUGAUAGUUAUGUGGAACUGGCAUCCAAGCAGCUGGCAUCUAAUAUAACACAUGCAGGAAGGAACUGGGUGUUCCCGUCCUAGAAUGUGAAAUAUUAGAGCUAGGACAAAAAAUAGCACUAAAAUAGGUUUUUUUUGUCAAAUCGUGCCAAAGUUAACUUGAAAAAUUGUAAUGUGGUAUGUGAUAACUUCUGCAAUUUCUCAAGAUUAAAUUGAUGGCAGUGAUGUCCAAACUCUUUAAAAGUGUUCACACUGUGCACUUUUCUGUCUUGGUGAACAGAAGAGUCUCCCAACAGGCCUGUUCUGCAGCUUAAUUUUUAUGCUGUUGCAAAGCUGGAUUGGGCAGGUGAGUGUUCCCAGCUGUGCUGCAGGUGCUGCCCACCGAUGCUGCAGAGGAUUUGGCUGUAGGUGAGCACAGACAUUGUUUGACAGGAUUGCAGGUGCUGGAGUUGGGACCUGAACACCCACUUACAGGUGAGUGUGGCAGGACAGUCUGUUCUGGGUGGAAAGGGGCCCCGAUGGCAUUCUCUGAGGAACUGCUCUGCAAGCCAAAGCCAAGCUCUUUUUUAAACUAGGUAAUUAUGUACAGUAAUAAUUAUGAUAUGCAGUUAGAUGCUGUUACAUGCAGUGUAUAUACUGUAUAAGACAUUGGGAGUGUAACAGUAGCCACGUUAGCACAGCAGAAGUUGGCUUUUACGCAAGCCCACUUAUUUUACAAAAUGCUGUCACAGUCUGGUGAUAGCUCUUUGUUGUUACUGUUUCAGUUCUCUAAAAUGACUUUUAUGGCCCAGACACUGUCCCCAACUUGCUUGGCGUAAGACCCCAGGUUCAGUCCUCAUCCCAGCAAGCUGCAUGUAGUUGGAUGCACUCAAAGGGAAACAAAAAGUGGCCCCAGAGGGCAAAGCCUGAGCACUUGCUGCAGGCAGGAGCUGUUCCACUUGCUGUGGUCACCACCAGCAUUCUGCCACAGGCUGACUUAUGCUCAGAUAACACGCAAAUUGUAUCUGAGUCUUUUUCCUUCUUGGAUACUCUAGCACUGGGGGUCAGAGCAGAGCUGGCCACUGGUGUGGUCCAGGCUCUGGUGUUCCAGCAUUGCACUGCUGGAAGGCAGCUGGAUUCUGUAAGGUCUCUCUACUUGGACAGCAGCCACCUAACUGGAGCUGUCAGGGACUUCUGCCAGCAUUAAAUUUGGACCUCUCUGGUAACAGAAAUGACCAGGUUUGGAGGAAGGUCAGGCCCUUAGGGGUGUAAGGAAAAGGUCAGUCAGGGCAGUAUCUAGAGCAAAGUUGAGGUUUGCGAGAGGCCAGACUAAAAGGAUUUUUCUUAUCUUGUCAUCUCAGCGUGAGUCUGAGGCCCACCACUUGUGUGUGUUACCAUCAGAGCAGAUGUCACGCAUGAACCCAGGCUGUGGGCUGGGUAUGGAGAGGAAAGGCUACUCCCAGCACCUGGGAGCACAUGCAAGGAACCUCGAGUGUGGCCAGAGCCUGGAGCGCGACGUUUGAUGAAAUCAUAGGACAGCACAUUGAAAAAUUUUGUAAAAAAUACAUGACGAUGGAUGCUCCUGGAGUGCUAGCAAAAUACCCAGACAUCUUUGCUGUGGUGAUAAUCAUCAUCCUAACAGGGCUUUUAGCUUUUGGCGUGAAAGAAUCUGCCCUGGUGAACAAAGUGUUCACCUGCAUCAAUGUCCUUGUCCUUGGAUUUGUCGUGAUCUCCGGCUUUGUGAAAGGAUCUGGUAAAAACUGGAACCUGACUGAACAGGACAUUUACAACACCAGCCAUAGCAUUUUCAAAGACAAUCAAACACAGGAAGAAAAGCUCUACGGUGUUGGAGGGUUUAUGCCCUAUGGAUGGAAAGGAGUUCUCUCAGGGGCAGCCACAUGUUUUUAUGCUUUUGUGGGAUUUGACUGUAUUGCUACUACAGGUGAGGAGGUAAAAAACCCUCAGAAGGCCAUUCCUAUUGGCAUUGUGGCAUCUCUUCUCAUCUGCUUUGUGGCAUAUUUUGGUGUGUCGGCUGCCCUGACGCUCAUGAUGCCUUACUACCAGCUGGAUACCAAUAGCCCUUUACCCAAUGCCUUUAAAUAUGUGGGUUGGGAUGGAGCCAAUUAUGCAGUGGCUGUCGGUUCCUUAUGUGCACUUUCUACAAGUCUCCUUGGAUCCAUGUUUCCAAUGCCUCGAAUAAUUUAUGCUAUGGCAGAAGAUGGACUUCUGUUUAAAUUUUUGGCUAAAGUCAACGAGAAGAGAAAAACUCCCUUAAUUGCAACAGUGACAUCAGGAGCUACUGCAGCUGUUAUGGCCUUUCUCUUUGACUUGAAAGAUCUUGUGGACCUCAUGUCCAUCGGGACCCUCCUGGCUUACUCCUUGGUAGCAGCAUGUGUGUUGGUAUUGAGGUACCAGCCAGAGCAGCCUAAUUUGGCAUACCAGAUGGCUAGGUCGACAGAGGAGACAGAUAACAAUGAGUCUGUGAGUACCAGUGAGUCACAGGCUGGGUUUCUGCCAGAGGAAGAGGAGAAGUUUUCCCUCAAAGCCAUACUAUGUUCCACAGAUUCAGAUCCUUCCAAAUUCUCUGGUUCGGUAGUGAACAUCUCAACCUUCAUCAUUGGUUUCCUUAUUGUGGGUAUCUGUAUCCUGACUUCCCUUGAGCCAAACAUUCUGAUAAACACUGUACAGAUUAUUGCUGCCAUCCUUGUUGUCACUAUCAUCUUCAUUAUACGGAAACAGCCUGAAAGCAAAACCAAACUCUCCUUUAAGGUACCUUUUCUACCCUUUCUUCCUGUUGGGAGUAUUUUUGUGAAUGUUUACCUCAUGCUGCAGCUAGAUGCAGGCACAUGGAUUCGAUUUGCAAUCUGGAUGCUCAUAGGCUUUAUCAUCUACUUUACCUACGGGAUAUGGCAUAGUGUGGAAGCCAGCUACGCAGCCUCUGCAGAAGUGGAGAGGAACACAGACACUGGCUCGGACAGCUGUAAAUGACUGUGUUUGGCUUACGGGCGACUGAAAGAAUGGCUGCAGUGAAAGAAACUUUGUGGUGGGGAUCCUGAACCAGAUUACACCUGUGAUCAGUUGUGCAGGAAUAAGGAAGUGGAAUGCAGACCUCCCCAACUCGGUUACUGCAGCUUGCAGUUUGUUUAGCAGCACAGUUAAAAGGGACCACAAGAUGAAAAGACACAGCUCUGGCAUAUUCCCAGCAGCACUGGCAGCUCAUCUGGGGCAUUUCCCUCUCUCCCUCUCGUUUUUUUUUAAUCCCAGUGUGUAGAAAGAGAACUGCUUCUGUGUGCAAAUGCUGCUAUGAAACCAGGCCUCACAAAUGUCCUUCUUUCAGUAGCCCCGGGAAUUACCUCCCCACAGAUACUCUACUCAAUUAUAUCUGGAGCAGAUUUUGCAGUGCUACUGUCAGGCAUAGACCAGGGUCCAUUCACCCUCUGUAUACGCACACAAAAAAAAGGGGUUCUCACCAAACGCUAGAUUUCACCAGGUUAACAAAGCGCCUGCAAGAUUUGCAUUCUUUAAAAUACCAGGUCUUACCUUUUUGUUUUAUUUAACUGGGUGUUAAAUAUGCUCACAUGCUUUAAAGCACGUCACUGCUGUGAAAUGUUGGGAAGGUUUGUGGUCGCUGAUUGUAGGUGAGUGAUUGCUCGCCAGCACAUAGGUAACAGCAGCAGCUGUUUCUCCCGACUGUGUACUCCACAAAGGAAUUGCCAGCUUUAGUCAGGAAACCAUGUGGUGCAAGUACUGCAAAGGCUUGAAAACAACCCGUGUCUCCAAAGAGCAGUCCCGCCUCUUUGCCUCAGAAACCACCAGUGGUGUGGCUGCAGUGGUGGGAGUGGCCAGCAGCACUGAGCUAGCUCUGAUGGCAAGUGGAGCCCUAUGUUCCUCCUCCCUCAUCAGUUUAGUGUGCUGGCUGCCUGGCAUUAGCAACUUGGGCUUGGCAUUGGCAGGCGGAGCACAUUCCUGCCCUGGGAAGGGAUGCACAGGAGGAUCCUCAGGGGCAUGAAGUUCUUACAUGAGCAGUGCCUGGUGUCUGCCCCCUGCCCAGGGAAGGCUGUGGGCUGUGCAGGGGCUUCUCAGGCCCAGCAGAGUGGGCAGCCCAGAAAACACCAUCAAGCUCUAGGGUCUGAUUGACUUGCUGAGGGGAGCUUUCCCUUUGGGGCUGGAGCCUCCCUGUAGUGAAAGGCAGAAAAUCUGGAGUUGAGACCAGAGUCUUUAUUUGAUUGGCAAUGUCUUGGUUUUGGCUGUGAUAUUUUUUGUUUUAAUUCUUUCUAAUAGCUUUCACUAGCCAAAUUAAUUCACUACCCUAAAAAGGCUUAUUAAAGCACUAUGAAGGUGAGCCAUGCCCAAGUAACGCCACUGAUCUAAAUUAACGCUUGAGCUUGUACUGAAAAACCAAUCAGAAUUGUGGAAUGGUUUGGGUUGGAAAGAGACCUUUGAAGAUCAUCUGGUCCAGCUUACCUGACAUCAGUAGGGACAUCUUUAACUAGAUCAGGUUGCUCAAAACCCUGUCCAACCUGCUCUCAAUCACUUCUGGGAUUGGAGCAUCCCAGAUUAAUACUGCAAAAAUCCUCUUUCCCGGUGUGAGUGGAUGCUUUCCUAGGUGUCCUUCAUACUACUGCCUCUGAACACUGGACAGUCUUUGUUUGUCAGCUUGGCUCUUGCUGAUGAAGUGACAGGCUGUUGCAUCUGUCAUUGAGUUGGAGAACUGAACAGACCCCCUGCAUGACUUGCCCAGGGUCUCACCAGGCAUCUGAUGCAGCAGAAGGGGGAAUCAGACCAUCUCCUGGAUUACAUGGCUGGAUUGUGGACCAUUUCUUGUGUUUCCAAGAGACUUUAUAGCCUUUCUGCCCAUUGAAGAGUUUUAAUCUUUUAAUUCUAGUACACUGGGAGGCUUUUCUUGUUAGGAUUGGAAUUUGAGGAAGUGAAGGCAAUGUGCUCAUUGCCUCCUAGGUGCACUCCAGGGUGUGCUAUGAGUGCAGCUUCCCCACAGAAUGAAGUAAGUUGGGGGUCUGCUCCAGGUGCUGGGUCUUGACCAUCCACCCAGCCUUUGCUCCUCGUGCAUAUGCUAAGUCUUAAAUGAACAGGGAGAGAUGAAUAUAGAAUUUAAAAGCCACUAAGUUGAAGUCUAUUUUGUUUAAACACAGACAAGGCCAACACACUCCACAGCCUCCCAAAAGGCACUGAAAAUAUGGCGGGAGGGCAACAAGAUGAAAACUCAGACAGGAUCAAAGUUUUGUAUUGUACUAAAAAUAUAAGGAUGUUUUUUCCUACCUGGCUACCAGCUUCUGUUCAAUGAAAACAUAGAGCUUGUGUCCUUGCCAAAGCUUCAUCUGCACUGAGCAAGCCAGGGGCCUGGUGAAGAAUGUUUCAGGAGGAUGUUAUCAGGCACAUUUCUGAGGUGGGGUAUGACCUGGUCCCUUUUUAAUCCUUGUGGCAAAUCCUGAGUGGCUCUGUGGCUGUCAGCAGGAGGGCAGCGUGAAGGGGACAGGGUAUUGAAACUGAGUGAACUGGAACAUUGGAGAGUUCAGGUGUUUGCUGAUGAGCCUGAACCACUGACAGAAACGUUCCUGUUAACCACAUGCUGCAUCAUGACACUUUAAUGGAAACAUUGCAGACCACACUCACUGUUCUGGGAGCUCCAAUGAUAUUGGAAGCAUCCUAGAAAAUGAGUCCAUGGAAACUCAGCCUGUGAGCCACUGUCAGGUAAUGCAGCUGACCAGCCCUGCUGCCAGGAAGCUAAUGACUAUGGCUUCAGCCUUUACCUUAAUGGGGUAACCCUCUAAUGGGGUUUUGCUUUGUUUCCCAUUCAUCCCAGUUUCUGUGUGCAGAGAAAACAUAGCAGGACAUGCUGAUCUGUAUGCACCAGCCCAUAGGUGCACUGGUGCACGGAUUUAUUAUCAGGAAUAUAUUACACUUAUCUGUACAUCAUAAUUGAAAUAAUACAAACUCUUCCUGUAAUCAUUAGCCACAUAAUAAAUGGGACCACAGAACUCCUGCUGUAUGGGAAGCUGUACAGAGGCUCCUCAGUGUCCAUGGGACACAACCACCAUCAGUGCAGAGACAAAAUACCUGAUUUUGCACUUGACAGUUUUUCCUUUCCUCCCCUGCCUGCUACCACCUUUGCUGCUGGGCAGCAACUGAGUGAACCUGUCUGUGCCAGCAGUCACUGGAGGUGCAAUCCCAGUGGGGCCAAAUGGUACCUUCCCACAAUAAAAAGGAGUUUUCCAUGCCCCCUGCUUGCUGCUGGCUCUUCUGCCAUCCCAUGGCUGAUACCUGCUCCCAGUGCCCAUGUCUGGAACCCCUUGGGAACAGCUGUAGGCUCAUUUUAUUGCUGCUACACCCUUCUACAUUGAGUAAAGAUUAACAAAAUCCAACAGCUUCCUUAAAGGCAGAGAUGAUAAAACCCUUUCUGCUUGGUGCUGGCUACAUUCCCUCUCCUGCCAAAGGCCAUCCUAUUUCCAAAUGGGAAGGUCCCCACAGUGGCACUGUUGUUCAGGAAGUUUCCAGCCCUGCAAAAGCAAACACUUCCCCUUGCUUGUCUUGGAACAGGGAUGGCCGAGGAGCAAGGACUGGAGCUAUGGCCCCUACCCUGCUGGGAAUCAAGCUCACCUUGCAUGGUUGCAGCUCCCUGCCAAGAGCAGGGCUUCCCAGCUUGGCCAUACACCUGAGGAUCUUCAUUUCCUGGGAAUGGCUGCCCCACUCAGGGGCUGCUCCCUUCCUCCCACUGUCCAAGUGACCUGGGCUUUUCUUUCACACCUACUUCAGUAUGCAGAGGCGAAGAAAGACUGAACAGAGGAAAAGUAUAAAAGAGGAAUAACCUUUUUUUUGGGAAAAAAGUGUUUCUGGGCUUGCACCAGAAGGAGCCACUCUUCACACCUGCCACAGGGACAGGUUGCUGGGUCCCUCUGGUUAGGCAGAACUACCUGCAGCUUUGCUAGUGAUUGGGCAGGCCCCAGAGGGUGUGCCAAGGAAGAAUCCAGUGAGAGGCAGGAUUGGGAGGCAAAAAUUAGAUAGGAAAGGGAUUGGUAUACCAAAUGAUGGUGGAGCUGGGUUUAGCCCCCAUUUUCCCACCAUAAAAGCCCCACUCCCAAUUCACUGCUGGAAGCAUGUCUUGAAUAUGACUUUAAACCAACAAAGUGAUAAGGUAAGCACUAGGUAUAAAGGGGAAAGAUGAAUAAAUUACAACAGGUUCAGCCAGCCUGUCCUGGGCCAAUAGUAUGUUUUAGUGCAUUUAAAGUUUUGAGUAGCAUCAAGAUAACAACUCCAGUUGUAUGAUCUCAGCCAUUUUUACCAAGGGUAAGAAGGAGAAUGCUAGAAACUACCAACAAUCCACUCUGACUAAUCUGAUGGCCUUCUGCAAUGGUGUGACUGUGCUGGUGAGUGGGGGAUGAGCAGCUAAUGUCAUCUACCUGGACUCUGCAAGGCCUUUGACAUAGUCCCACACAGCAUUGUAACCUGGGGAGAUACAGCUUUGAUGGGUGGAAGCUGGAUAUGGAAUUGGCUGGAUGGUUGCAUCCAGAACAGCUCAAUGUACAAAUGGCAGUCAGUAAGAAGUGGUGUCCCUCAGGGGUCCGUGUUGGGACUGAUACUGUGCAAUAUCCUAAAUGACACAGACAGUGGGAUCAGGUGCAUCCACAGCAAGCCUGUGGAUUGGCACCAAGUGAGUGGUUCAGUUGGUACACUGGAAGGAGGGGAUGCCAUCCAGGGGGAUCUGGACAGGCUUGAGAAGUGGGGCCAUGUGAACAUCAGGUUCAACAAGACCAAGUGCAAGGUCCUGCACAUAGGUGGGGGCAACCUGUGGUAUGAAUACAGGCUGGGGGAUAAAGAGACUGAGAACAGGCCUGCUGAGGACUUGGGAAUACUGGUGGAUGAGAGGCUGGACAUGGGUGCUCAAAGCCCAGAAAGUAAAUUGUAUCCUGGGCUGCAUCCAAAGCACUGUGCCCAGCAGGGCAAGGGCAGGGGUUCUGCCCUUCUGCUCUUGUGAGACCCAACCUGGAGUGCUGCAUCCGGCUCUGGGGAAAAUAAGGACAUGGACAUCUUGGAGUGAGUCUAGAGGAGGGCCACAAAGUUCUUAGAGGGCUGGAGCACGUCAGCCUGGAGAAGAGCAGACUCCUCAAGGGGGCCUAUAAGAAAAAUGGAGAGACUUUUUACCAGGGUCUGUAGUGAAAGGACAGGGGACCACAGUUUUAAAUUGAAAGAGGAUAGGUUUAGAUUGGACAUAAGGAAGAGAAUUUUUGUAGUGAGAGUGGUAGGAUACUGAACAGGUUGCCCAGAGAAGCUGUGGAUACCCCAUUCCUGGAAGUGUUCAAGGCCAGGUUGGAUGAAGCUCUGAGAAACCUGGGCUGGUGGAAAGUGUCUCUGCCCAUGGCAGUGGGGGCUGGACUAGAUAGUCUCAAAUUUCCCUUCUAACUCAAAUCACCCCAUGAGUCUGUGAUCUCACUGUAUCAGAAUUAUAAAGGUGGAAUGAAAGAUGACAAUGCUGUAGGUGUUGCAAAUAGCUGUGCAGUUAGUAAGUAUCAAAAUGAUUUAAGUUGUACUUGGCAAGAAGGGGCUUUGUGUGCAUGUGUGUGCCAGGUAUCUAUCUUUCAGGUUGUACUUGCUGGACACACUAAAAUCUAGCAAUGCAUUUCAACAAUAGUAGCUGGUGUGCCAUGAUCUAUUCUAACAAGAUGCUCAAUUUACUCAG